AUGACCUAAAUCAAAUCUCUUAUAAUUAUACAGUGGAAGUGACAAAUAGAUUCAAGACAUUAGAUCUGAUAGACAGAUGGCUUGAAGAACUUUGGAGAGAGGUUCAUGACAUUAUACAGGAGGCAGUGAUCAAAACCAUCCUCAAGAAAAGAAAUGCAAAAAUGCGAAAUGAUUAUCAGAAGAGGCCUUACAAAUAGCAUAGAAAAGAAAAGAAACAAAAGACAAAGGAUAAAAAGUAAGAUAUAUCCAUCUGAAUGCAGAGUUCCAAAGAAUAGCAAGGAAAAAGUAGAAAGCCUUCCUAAGUGAGCAAUGCAAAGAAAUAGAAACAAUAGAAUGGGAAAGACUAGAGAUCUUGUCAAGAAAAUUAGAGAUGCCAAGGGAACAUUUCAUGCAAAGAUGGGCACAAUAAAAGACAGAAAUUGUGAAGGGUUAAUGCGGCCACAAUAAGGAAAAAGUGGAGAUGUACUGUUUGCAAACAAGAUGUUCUGCCAAGAAGAUGGACACGGCCUUGAGAUUAAUGGUCCCUUGCAAAUAAGGGAGCAUUUCCUUCUUGUGAUAAGGGCUCUGGACAGACUCUGCUGUAGGCCAGAAUUUCACUCCCUUUUGCUGUAUGAUAACAUUUAUGCACAUGCUCUGUACUGAACAAGUUUGGUCAUACAGUCUGGAAUUCUGCCCAGGGGGGCUAUAUAAAAAUAAACCACGAGCCUGCUUGCUUGCACAGUUAUUAUUUUCCCUCUGGCCAGAGUGUGCCUGUCUCUUGUAUGUGUGUCUUGUUGUUUUAUGUCAUUUCACUUGUAAUCUCCAGAAAUCUCCUACAUCUGGUGCCCAACGUGGGGCUCCAGUGAAACCGAAAGGACAGAAUAAUGGCCAUGCAAAGAUUCCCCACUUGAUGGACACAGUUUCAGGUGGACUCCGGGAGUUGCUGAUGGACAGGAAGGCCUGGAGUGCUGCGGUUCAUGGAGUUGCAAAGAGUCGGAAUUGACUGAGUGACUGAACUGAACUGAAUUGAAAGAUCCCCACGCUAAUUUCUUGAACCUAUGAAUAUAGUUUGUUACAUGGCAAAGAUGUUAAGGUAGCUGAUGCAGUUAAGGUUGCUAAUCAGCUGAUAUUAAAUUAGGGAUAGUACAUUGUAUUAUUCAAGUGGACCCUAUAUAAUCACAAUGAUCUUUAAGUAUAGGGGAAAGAAGCAGAAGAGACAAAAUUAGAGGGAUGUGGCAUAAGGACUCAAUCAUUUAUUGCUGGCUUUGAACAUUGGAGGGGUCCACAAGCCAGAAAUGUGGGUAAUCUCUAGAAACGAGAAAAGGCAAGAAAAUGGAUUCUCCCUUAGAACUUCCUGAAAGGAAUAAGCUCUUGAUUUUACCUCGGUGGGACAUAUUUUGAACUAUAACUUAAAAUAACUACUGUUGUUUCUUCUUUUAUUUUUAAUUGAUGGAUAAUUACAAUAUUAUUUUAGUUUCUGCCAUAUGUCAACAUGAAUAAGCCAUAGAUACUCAUAUGUCCCCUUCCUCUUGAACCUCCCUCCCACCUCCCAGCCCUCUAGGUUGUCACAGUUUACCAGAUUUGAGCUCCUUGUGUCAAACAGCAAAUUACCACUGGCUAUCUAUUUUACCAUACAGUAAUGUAUAUGUUUCAAUGCUAUUUAAGCGAUUUAGCAAGAGCUUUAUAAAGUGCUUUCCCAUCUACCAGAAAACCCCCCAUGAAUUAUUAAUAAUAAGCUUUUUCAUUAGACUGAAGAAUUCUAUGGACUGUGUGGCUUGCAAAGAGUUGGACACACUGAGAGACUUUCACUAUACACUAUAAUGUAUAUUUCUCACUUCCACUGUAUAAUCAUAAGUGAUUUUAUUUAGGUCGUACCUGAAUGGUCUAGGGGUUUCCCCUACUUUCUUCACUUUAAGUCCGAAUUUGGCAAUAAGGAGUUCAUGAUUUGAGCCACGGUCAGCUCCCACUCUCAUUUUUGCUAACUGUAUAGAGCUUCUCUAUCUUUGGCUGCAAAGAAUAUAAUCAAUCUGGUUUUGGUGUUGACCAUCUGGUGAUGUCCAUGUGUAGAGUCUUCCCUUGUGUUUUUGGAAGAGGGUGUUUGCUAUCACCAGUGUGUUCUCUUGGCAAAACUCUAUUAGCUUUUGCCCUGCUUCAUUCUGUACUCCAAGGCCAAAUUUGCCUGUUACUCCAGGUGUUUCUUGACAUCCUCCUUUUGCAUUCCAGUCCCCUAUAAUGAAAAGGACAUCUUUUUUGGGUGUUAGUUCUA
ensembl:lincRNA